rnacentral:rRNA from 1 species
GAGUUUGAUCGUGGCUCAGAUUGAACGCUGGCGGCAGGCCUAACACAUACAAGUCGAGCGGAUGACGGGAGCUUGCUCCUUGAUUCAGCGGCGGACGGGUGAGUAAUGCCUAGGAAUCUGCCUGGUAGUGGGGGACAACGUUUCGAAAGGAACGCUAAUACCGCAUACGUCCUACGGGAGAAAGCAGGGGACCUUCGGGCCUUGCGCUAUCAGAUGAGCCUAGGUCGGAUUAGCUAGUUGGUGGGGUAAUGGCUCACCAAGGCGACGAUCCGUAACUGGUCUGAGAGGAUGAUCAGUCACACUGGAACUGAGACACGGUCCAGACUCCUACGGGAGGCAGCAGUGGGGAAUAUUGGACAAUGGGCGAAAGCCUGAUCCAGCCAUGCCGCGUGUGUGAAGAAGGUCUUCGGAUUGUAAAGCACUUU